GACGAUUAGUCAAGCUUAAACCAGGGGGGCUGAACUGUCAAAAUUUCCCGUAGCACUCAUUCAAGCAAUAUGGCCGCCCAAUGUUAUUGUUUUGAAAAUCAAAUUCGUGAUCGGCUUGGAAAAGUUUUCGGGAUAUCGAUGUUUUGAAAGAUGUUUCCGGCAAGCGAAAUCUUUCCGGCUGUGUUGCACUUGCACCUGCAUUAGCCGUACCUGGUCGAAAAGGAUUCACGAAACAGUAAGCUGCAAUUCCAGUCCUCAGCAAGCGCUCGGAACUUCUCUGGCUGCAGAAUUCUUCCAGCGGCGAAUUCCAGAAAUGAAUGAAAAACGAUGGUCAGGUUCCAAACAGCUCGGCCGUGAUCAGAAUCGCGCGAUAAAACCAGCCAUUUGCCUUCUGAUUAAUGAUCAAGUGAAUCUCGUGCUGAUUCGACACUGACUGGCCACCUUAAAGCAACGUCCGGAAGAACUAGCUGCGAACAGCCAGUAUCACCCGGUGCACCGGCAGCAUCUCACCCUCAAUGAAUAACGACACGUCCGAGUACGUCAUGCACCGAGGAGACCGAAUCAAACGAAGCUAGAAGAACUCAUAAAAAGCAUUGAAAAAUACUUCCUCAGGUUUCUUACAACAAUUUCAAUAAUAAAAAUCAUAAAACAUUGAA